CGGGCCGGUGGCACCGCGAGGGCGGAGCUGCGUUCUGCUCUGCACAGACCUUGGGGCACUGCCUCGCUUUGGGACAACUCGGGGCCGCAUCGACGGUGAAUAAAAUACUUCCUGUUUGCAGCCCUGUUUGUGGUUGGUGGCAGCGAUGGACACUGCAGCCAGCCAGAGCGUAGAAAGGCAUCGGGGCUUUUCUGGCUUUGCCCGCCCAGCUGCUCCAUGCCAGGAGGAGGAGGAGACACCUAGAGCCUGCAACACCACGGCUCGCCUCGCUACAGGUGGGUGGCAGUGACGGAGACUGCAGUGCACCAGAGCGUGAGUUGUCUUAUCAAGGAGAAGAACUCAAGCUGAUUAUUCUUUUUUUUCUCUUCCAUCCACCUCGCUGGUGUAUUAAUAAUUUCAUUUCUCAGAAAAUGUUCUUUCAUAUCCAUCUUACAAGAUGAGAGACCUUUUAACAUCUUCCAUUCGGAUGUGAUACCAGUAAUGGAAAAUAUUCCAGCUUCAUGAAUAUGGUGAUACAAAUAGUUAUCCGUCUAACCUCUUUCAGUGCCAAAGGUUUACUUUACUCAGUGAAUUACUCAGUUGACUGGUAAUUUCUUCUGAAAUCACUAAUGAGAGGAUCAGAGGUCUGGCUGUUGUCUGUACCUCAUAUGACUCCCAGUGCAGACAAUUGUUUCUAUGGAGCACAGACAGUUGAAAGGAUUGACUUCCUGCCUAGAAUAAUUUCUGCUAUGCUUCUUAUCCUUCUUGUGGAGAUUUCAGAUUAUCUGAAUUGCUUUUCUAUCUUGAGAAAAAACGCAACAAUUCUCCCACCUGAGAGGAAAGUAAACUGUAGUAAGUUAGCAGAACCAAUCCAUAAAAUUUUUACAUUGUUUGUUGCAAAAUGCAGCGCUGGUGUCUCCAUCACUAACCUUUUCUAUCCCUCAUUGCUCUUUCUUUGACUGCACUAGGAUACCUCUAGGCAAAUCUGUAUUCCCGAGACAGAGUGCCCAUUUGGUGAGCUAUAAGCACACUCGAUGGUAGGCUGAAAUACUAGCUUUUAUCUAUGGUGAAAUGGAAUCAUAUCAGUGAUUUUUUUAAAAAGGAAAUUUAACUCUUGCUAUGGUUUGAAUGCUUGCCCCUUCCAAUCUCAUGUUAAAAUUUGAUCCCCAAUGUUGCAGGUGGGGCUUA
rnacentral:lncRNA from 10 species